rnacentral:rRNA from 1 species
GUCGCUGAUGGAUGGACCCGCGGUGCAUUAGCUAGUUGGUGAGGUAACGGCUCACCAAGGCGACGAUGCAUAGCCGACCUGAGAGGGUGAUCGGCCACAUUGGGACUGAGACACGGCCCAAACUCCUACGGGAGGCAGCAGUAGGGAAUCUUCGGCAAUGGACGAAAGUCUGACCGAGCAACGCCGCGUGAGUGAAGAAGGUUUUCGGAUCGUAAAACUCUGUUGUUAGAGAAGAACAAGGAUGAGAGUAACUGUUCAUCCCUUGACGGUAUCUAACCAGAAAGCCACGGCUAACUACGUGCCAGCAGCCGCGGUAAUACGUAGGUGGCAAGCGUUGUCCGGAUUUAUUGGGCGUAAAGCGAGCGCAGGCGGUUUCUUAAGUCUGAUGUGAAAGCCCCCGGCUCAACCGGGGAGGGUCAUUGGAAACUGGGAGACUUGAGUGCAGAAGAGGAGAGUGGAAUUCCAUGUGUAGCGGUGAAAUGCGUAGAUAUAUGGAGGAACACCAGUGGCGAAGGCGGCUCUCUGGUCUGUAACUGACGCUGAGGCUCGAAAGCGUGGGGAGCAAACAGGAUUAGAUACCCUGGUAGUCCACGCCGUAAACGAUGAGUGCUAAGUGUUGGAGGGUUUCCGCCCUUCAGUGCUGCAGCUAACGCAUUAAGCACUCCGCCUGGGGAGUACGACCGCAAGGUUGAAACUCAAAGGAAUUGACGGGGGCCCGCACAAGCGGUGGAGCAUGUGGUUUAAUUCGAAGCAACGCGAAGAACCUUACCAGGUCUUGACAUCCUUUGACCACUCUAGAGAUAGAGCUUCCCCUUCGGGGGCAAAGUGACAGGUGGUGCAUGGUUGUCGUCAGCUCGUGUCGUGAGAUGUUGGGUUAAGUCCCGCAACGAGCGCAACCCUUAUUGUUAGUUGCCAUCAUUUAGUUGGGCACUCUAGCAAGACUGCCGGUGACAAACCGGAGGAAGGUGGGGAUGACGUCAAAUCAUCAUGCCCCUUAUGACCUGGGCUACACACGUGCUACAAUGGGAAGUACAACGAGUCGCAAAGUCGCGAGGCUAAGCUAAUCUCUUAAAGCUUCUCUCAGUUCGGAUUGUAGGCUGCAACUCGCCUACAUGAAGCCGGAAUCGCUAGUAAUCGCGGAUCAGCACGCCGCGGUGAAUACGUUCCCGGGCCUUGUACACACCGCCCGUCACACCACGAGAGUUUGUAACACCCGAAGUCGGUGAGGUAACCUUUUGGAGCCAGCCGCCUAAGGUGGGAUAGAUGAUUGGGGUGAAGUCGUAACAAGGUAGCCGUAUCGGAAGGUGCGGCUGGAUCACCUCCUUUCUAAGGAA